rnacentral:rRNA from 1 species
CACGUAGGUGGCGAGCGUUGUCCGGAUUUACUGGGCGUAAAGGGAGCGUAGGCGGACUUUUAAGUGAGAUGUGAAAUACUCGAGCUCAACUUGAGUGCUGCAUUUCAAACUGGAAGUCUAGAGUGCAGGAGAGGAGAAUGGAAUUCCUAGUGUAGCGGUGAAAUGCGUAGAGAUUAGGAAGAACACCAGUGGCGAAGGCGAUUCUCUGGACUGUAACUGACGCUGAGGCUCGAAAGCGUGGGGAGCAAACAGG